rnacentral:rRNA from 1 species
ANAGCAUUACAAGCGNAACUGCGAAUGGCUCAUUAUAUAAGUUAUCGUUUAUUUGAUAGUACCUUACUACAUGGAUAACCGUGGUAAUUCUAGAGCUAAUACAUGCUGAAAAUCCCGACUUCGGAAGGGAUGUAUUUAUUAGAUUCAAAACCAAUGCCCUUCGGGGCUCCAAUGGUGAUUCAUGAUAACUUCUCGAAUCGCACGGCCCCGCGCCGGCGAUGGUUCAUUCAAAUUUCUUCCCUAUCAACUUUCGAUGCUACGGUAGUGUCCUAGCAUGGUUGCAACGGGUAACGGGGAAUA